GUCUCUGUAGCUCAGUUGGUUUGAGCGCUGCACCGGAAUCGCAGGGCCGUAGGUUCAAUUCCUACCAGAGGACC
rnacentral:tRNA from 1 species